rnacentral:pre_miRNA from 1 species
AAUAACUUUAUUUUUCGUUUUUCUGUGUCUAACGUUUGAUCAUUCGUCUUAUUUAAAAUUUUUUUACGAUUAAUAUUUUUAUUAUUAGUAGAUAAAUAGUACUUUAUACAUGACUAAUUUUUUUAGUUUUUUGCACAAAUUUUUUAAAUAGGACAAAUGGUCAAAUGUUGGAAAAAAAAAU